rnacentral:sRNA from 1 species
CAAUAAGCGGAGGAAAAGAAACUAACAAGGAUUCCCCUAGUAACUGCGAGUGAAGCGGGAAAAGCUCAAAUUUAAAAUCUGGCGGUCUCCGGCCGUUCGAGUUGUAAUCUAGAGAAGUGUUAUCCGCGCUGGACCGUGUACAAGUCUCCUGGAAUGGAGCGUCAUAGAGGGUGAGAAUCCCGUCUUUGACACGGACUGCCAGGGCUUUGUGAUGCGCUCUCAAAGAGUCGAGUUGUUUGGGAAUGCAGCUCAAAAUGGGUGGUAAAUUCCAUCUAAAGCUAAAUAUUGGCGAGAGACCGAUAGCGAACAAGUACCGUGAGGGAAAGAUGAAAAGAACUUUGGAAAGAGAGUUAAACAGUACGUGAAAUUGCUGAAAGGGAAACGCUUGAAGUCAGUCGCGUUGGCCGGGGAUCAACCUUGCUUUUGCUGGGCGUACUUUCCGGUCGACGGGUCAGCAUCAAUUUUGACCGUUGGAUAAAGUUCAGGGGAAUGUGGCAUCUUCGGAUGUGUUAUAGCCCUUGGUCGCAUACAACGAUUGGGAUUGAGGAACUCAGCACGCCGCAAGGCCGGGUACUUGUACCACGUUCGUGCUUAGGAUGCUGGCAUAAUGGCUUUAAUCGACCCGUCUUGAAACACGGACCAAGGAGUCUAACAUGCCUGCGAGUGUUUGGGUGGAAAACCCGGGCGCGUAAUGAAAGUGAAAGUUGAGAUCCCUGUCGCGGGGAGCAUCGACGCCCGGACCAGACCUUUUGUGACGGAUCCGCGGUAGAGCAUGUAUGUUGGGACCCGAAAGAUGGUGAACUAUGCCUGAAUAGGGUGAAGCCAGAGGAAACUCUGGUGGAGGCUCGUAGCGAUUCUGACGUGCAAAUCGAUCGUCAAAUUUGGGUAUAGGGGCGAAAGACUAAUCGAACCAUCUAGUAGCUGGUUCCUGC